GGACCGGUGGCAGAGGAUGGUUAUUGCAGCGGCACGGGUUGCAGGCCCGGCACGCGCGGCGGCUCGUUGACGCGUGGGGCCGCCGGCGUGCCAUGCCCCACCGGGGGUUCAAAUCCCCUCCGGUCCG
rnacentral:tRNA from 1 species